rnacentral:sRNA from 1 species
AUUUUUUAUCAAAGCAUUAUAACUAGAAAAUUUUAAUUUCCACACUGAAAUUGCUACCGUUUCUAAAUUUCCGCAUUAUUAUGAAGUCAUGCAAAAAUUAAAACAAGAAAAGUACUACCGAAAAAUCCCAGUAGUAUUGUGUAAUAAUUUUGGUUGCUGAUACUUGUAUAUUAAAUCUUAAACGAUUGGACUUGCUUUUCUAACGAAAGGGUAUUUUUUGGGUGAAGCAUUAGCAAUGAUAAAAGUUAACAAAAGGGAAUAGACCAAAAAGUGACGAACACCUGCCCCAACUGAAAGCCAAAGAAAUGUCUUUGCCAUUGGCCAUUUUCCACAGGCUUUACUUUUCAGUUAGGACCACACCCGUCUACCGAAACGAGCCUCAAUUGCCCCCGCAAAAUGGCAAAACAAUCAACAAGCAGCGCGACGGGUGUUUGGCCCGAACAAGAUUUCGAGUGUCUAAGCCCACCUUCAUAUCCAUACCUAUGCCACCACCACUUCAAAGCCCGAUCGGCGUGCCUCUGCUAACCGCAACAUGUUGUGGCUAAGAUAGGCGAAAUUGUUUGGCCAAAACUGCAGGAAAAUAACUGCGAGCAGAAAGACCGUCAUUAUUAAAUGUUAAUUUACCUUUCUAAUUAACUAUUUAACUAAAAAAGCAUAAAGGCGUGAAAAGUUAUUAAAUAAUAAUUUACCUUAAAUAACACUAAUGUUAAGAUAUAAAGGUCAUAUUACCCAUAGCACAUCAUGUAAACUAUUAAAUUAUCAAUAAUUACCAGAUAAUCAAAGAUACUAAACCAAAGAUUUGUUGCGCUUAGCGUGACUAAAAAAAUGUAUCGACCCUUAUGUAGCGAGUCUUUAAAAGCCUUUAACUAGUCUAUUAAGCUUUUAUAACCAACACUUCUCAACGUCCAAGCAAAAUGUGUAUCCGAGUCACUUUAAUCGUUCUGGCAAUCUUUUUGUUCGUAAAAAAAACUCCACAUAAUACUGAAAAAUGUAGUCCUUUGAAUUGUAUAAAUGACGGUUAACUAUAUUAUGACAAUAUACGAUCAACACUUUUACAAGAAUGUAAUCUUCAAAGCAACAAAUUCAAAGCUAAAUUAAACAAAGCACAUCCCCUAAUAUUGUAGUUAAAUGUAUAGAUAAUAUUCUGAUCUCUAAUUUCUGAUAUUGUAGUUAAUUGUAAAGGCAAUAGUCUGAUUAAGAAAUUUAAAAAGUCCUCGCAUUGCUUACCCUAAAAAAUAAAAUCUAACUUUGUAUUGCCUCAUUACCAAGGCAUUUGCA